UGCCCGCGCGCUGUCCACUUCCGGCCGGGACCCCGGAGGCGGAGGCGGCGAAGGCCGAGGAGGCGGCGGCGGCGUAGCCGUAGAGGAUUUUCUACGUUGGUAUGCCAAAUUUCAUAAUCAGAAAAUAAAGAGAAAGGAAAGGUUGCAAUGUAGGUCCAGAUGAAAAAGGAGAAGAGAGGUGUCUGAAAGCAUGUGGGCAUGGAGAAUGAAAAAUUCCAGGAGAAGUGCACAGAGAACACCCCUAGCAUGAACAGUGUGAGGAUUCCACCAGCUUUUUCACCAUGAAGGAGACAGACCGGGAGGCCGUUGCGACAGCAGUGCAAAGGGUUGCUGGGAUGCUCCAGCGCCCGGACCAGCUGGACAAGGUGGAGCAGUAUCGCAGGAGAGAAGCGCGGAAGAAGGCCUCCGUGGAGGCCAGAUUGAAGGCCGCCAUCCAGUCACAGUUGGACGGGGUGCGCACAGGCCUCAGCCAGCUCCACAACGCCCUGAAUGACGUCAAAGACAUCCAGCAGUCGCUGGCAGACGUCAGCAAGGACUGGAGGCAGAGCAUCAACACCAUCGAGAGCCUCAAGGACGUCAAAGAUGCCGUGGUGCAGCACAGCCAGCUCGCCGCAGCCGUGGAGAACCUCAAGAACAUCUUCUCAGUGCCUGAGAUUGUGAGGGAGACCCAGGACCUAAUUGAACAAGGGGCACUCCUGCAAGCCCACCGGAAGCUGAUGGACCUGGAGUGCUCCCGGGACGGGCUGAUGUACGAGCAGUACCGCAUGGACAGUGGGAACACGCGUGACAUGACCCUCAUCCAUGGCUACUUUGGCAGCACGCAGGGGCUCUCUGAUGAGCUGGCUAAGCAGCUGUGGAUGGUGCUGCAGAGGUCACUGGUCACUGUCCGCCGUGACCCCACCUUGCUGGUCUCAGUUGUCAGGAUCAUUGAAAGGGAAGAGAAAAUUGACAGGCGCAUACUUGACCGGAAAAAGCAAACUGGCUUUGUUCCUCCUGGGAGGCCCAAGAAUUGGAAGGAGAAAAUGUUCACCAUCUUGGAGAGGACUGUGACCACCAGAAUUGAGGGCACACAGGCAGAUACCAGAGAGUCUGACAAGAUGUGGCUUGUCCGCCACCUGGAAAUUAUAAGGAAGUACGUCCUGGAUGACCUCAUUGUCGCCAAAAACCUGAUGGUUCAGUGCUUUCCUCCCCACUAUGAGAUCUUUAAGAACCUCCUGAACAUGUACCACCAAGCCCUGAGCACGCGGAUGCAGGACCUCGCAUCGGAAGACCUGGAAGCCAAUGAGAUCGUGAGCCUCUUGACGUGGGUCUUAAACACCUACACAAGUACUGAGAUGAUGAGGAACGUGGAGCUGGCCCCGGAAGUGGAUGUCGGCACCCUGGAGCCAUUGCUUUCUCCACACGUGGUCUCUGAGCUGCUUGACACGUACAUGUCCACGCUCACUUCAAACAUCAUCGCCUGGCUGCGGAAAGCGCUGGAGACAGACAAGAAAGACUGGGUCAAAGAGACAGAGCCAGAAGCCGACCAGGACGGGUACUACCAGACCACACUCCCUGCCAUUGUCUUCCAGAUGUUUGAACAGAAUCUUCAAGUUGCUGCUCAGAUAAGUGAAGAUUUGAAAACAAAGGUACUAGUUUUAUGUCUUCAGCAGAUGAAUUCUUUCCUAAGCAGAUAUAAAGAUGAAGCGCAGCUGUAUAAAGAAGAGCACCUGAGGAAUCGGCAGCACCCUCACUGCUACGUUCAGUACAUGAUCGCCAUCAUCAACAACUGCCAGACCUUCAAGGAAUCCAUAGUCAGUUUAAAAAGAAAGUAUUUAAAGAAUGAAGCGGAAGAGGGCGUGUCUCCGAGCCAGCCCAGCAUGGACGGGAUUUUAGACGCCAUCGCGAAGGAGGGCUGCGGCGGUUUGCUGGAGGAGGUCUUCCUGGACCUGGAGCAACAUCUGAAUGAAUUGAUGACGAAGAAGUGGCUAUUAGGGUCAAACGCUGUAGACAUUAUCUGUGUCACCGUGGAAGACUAUUUCAACGAUUUUGCCAAAAUUAAAAAGCCGUAUAAGAAGAGGAUGACGGCCGAGGCGCACCGGCGCGUGGUGGUGGAGUACCUGCGGGCGGUCAUGCAGAAGCGCAUUUCCUUCCGGAGCCCGGAGGAGCGCAAGGAGGGUGCCGAGAAGAUGGUUCGGGAGGCAGAGCAGCUGCGCUUCCUGUUCCGGAAGCUGGCGUCCGGUUUCGGGGAAGGCGUGGACGGAUACUGCGACACCAUCGUGGCUGUGGCCGAAGUGAUCAAGCUGACAGACCCUUCUCUGCUCUACCUGGAGGUCUCCACUCUGGUCAGCAAGUAUCCAGACAUCAGAUGUGAAAAAUUCACAAAUGGGACUUCUUGAAAGACUCAAAACUUGAGAAGUAAUUGAGAAGUAGAAGCAGCUCUUAACAAGCAUCAGGGGCUCAGAAGAGGGUGCUCUUCCCGGGGCAUCCAGCGGGCGAGCUGUUCCGUGUGCCUCUGAACCCAGCUUCCCACUUAGCAGCAGGCCUUGAGUGCACCUGGCAUACAAACACCUGCCUGCCCACCCCCGGUGCUGAAGACUGACCAGUCAAGCAGGUGUUGGUGAGAGUGUCGUGGUCACCAUGUGGAGAUCAGGCGGCGAUUACCGCAUCUUCUUUGCUGACUUUGGUAACCGGGUGUCCAGGGAGGAGCGAUCGGGAGUGGCCAAGCAGUUGCCUGGACUCAGCUUCUGACUCUGCAGCCGGGAGUCAGAUGCAGGCCCAAGGGUCCAGGGGAGUUGUUCAGCGCCUGGAAUCGCCACGCACUGCGCUGUGGGCCGCACGACGCUCCUGCUCUGUUCUCCCAGGCACAGACAGGCACUUGGAAGGCAGCUUUGCUCCUCUGGCCACCUGGAAACCUCCCAGCAGUUCAGAUGGGACAAACUGGGGGCCUGUCAGAACAGCCACUUGUGCCGGGAAGGCCAGGCCCCGGCCUGCUCCGAUGAACGUCAGGACGGUGGCUGCAGCAGGGAACCAGGGCUGGCCUUGGAUCUGUCCAGUAGGGUCACUGACUGGGCAGGGCUUGCUGCAUAGAGGAUGGCUGCAUUUUGUGCUCAGAGUUGGUUGAAAUGGCUACGAAGUGUGGAGAAUGACCACUGAAUCCCAAAAAGUCACUGCGCUUGAUCUGAUCCAAGUAACAGUGACUGCAGUUAGGGUCGAGAGCUUCUCCGAAGCAGCGGUCAUGGAGGCUUUUGUGUGGCUGACGCUUCCCUUUUUCACAACAGUAAAAAGCUAUCAAUGGGAAAUUGUGGACUUUUCCCACCAGGGACUCAAUGGGGACUCAAUGUGCAAUAUUCAGUCAACAUAAAACUCUUUAAGAACUC